CAAGAUACACAGGACUCUUGGAUUCAAUGUGACUGCUGUAAUGGGUGGUUUCACUGGGAAUGUGUUAACCAACCCAAUAUAAAAGAUGUUUUUGUUUGUCCUGGAUGCCAAGGCCCUGUUUAAUUUUGUAAUAGGAUUUCUACGCACCAUUUGAUUAGAUGCCCAUAUAAUCCCCAGC